rnacentral:rRNA from 1 species
AUACGGAGGAUGCGAGCGUUAUCCGGAUUUAUUGGGUUUAAAGGGAGCGUAGGCGGGAGCUUAAGUCAGCGGUUAAAUGGUGCGGCUCAACCGUGCCCUGCCGUUGAAACUGGGGUUCUUGAGAGUGCAAGAGGCGGAUGGAAUUCAUGGUGUAGCGGUGAAAUGCUUAGAUAUCAUGAAGAACUCCGAUUGCGAAGGCAGUCCGCUGGGGCACGUCUGACGCUGAUGCUCGAAGGUGCGGGAAUCAAACAGGAUUAGAUACCCUGGUAGUCCGCACGGUAAACGAUGAUUACCCGCUGUCGGCGGUAGACAGUCGGCGGCCAAGCGAAAGCGAUAAGUAAUCCACCUGGGGAGUACGCCGGCAACGGUGAAACUCAAAUGAAUUGACGGGG